CUAAAACAAAAACACGACGAAAGGCGCGUGGCAGACACAGCUUAAGGGAACUGUUUGAAGGAUAGUAGUUCAGAAUCUGCAAAAAUAAACUGAAGAAGGAACUACAAUGAAUUAAUCAUAAUAGGACAAGGACAAGAUUGAGAAUUUGGACAUGGAUUCAGAACCUACUUAAAGCAAAUCUGGUUCAUGGACACAAGACAUUUCUACAUUCAAAAUGAAGUAAGAUUGCAAAAGCUUUAUUACUAGGCAGGGAACCAGGAGAGCUGGGCUGGGAAAGACAAUCCAACAAAAGAAUAGUGUGAAGUGAAGGCACAGCACACCUUCCAGGCCUGAUUCACGAAUAAGGUGGAGAGAACACAACCCAGAGAGCACCAUCCCGCCGAGACCGCAAACAAGGCAGACUGGCCGGCCGGGACCGCAGUCCCGAUUUGGGUGCUGGGACCUUGACAAUAAGGCCAGCGCGGCCACGAAACGCAAGUCUCCAUUAGCAUGCUUUCCCCGGGCGAGCGCGGCAUGGCUCCUGAGCGACAGACCUUCCGAAAUCCACUAGGCACGGCGGCCCCAGGAGGGGAGCAGAGUGGGGUCAGCACGGGCGACGACUGCAGGAAGCCGAGUCUUCCCAGGCCGGGGUUGGCGGGGACCCGCGCUCGCCCGUGACCCUUCCCUCCCAGGCUGCCCGGGGCAAGCGUCC
rnacentral:lncRNA from 1 species